UACGUAGGGGGCAAGCGUUGUCCGGAAUUACUGGGCGUAAAGCGCGUGUAGGCGGGUCGGCAAGUCGGACGUGAAAGGCUCGGGCUCAACCCGAGAAGGCCGUUCGAAACUGCCGUUCUUGAGGGUCGAAGAGGAGAGUGGAAUUCCUGGUGUAGCGGUGAAAUGCGUAGAGAUCAGGAGGAACACCCGUGGCGAAGGCGGCGCUCUGGUCGACAUCUGACGCUGAGACGCGAAAGCGUGGGGAGCGAACGGG
rnacentral:rRNA from 1 species